CCUACGGGUGGCAGCAGUGGGGAAUAUUGCACAAUGGGGGAAACACUGAUGCAGCGACGCCGCGUGAGUGAAGAAGUAUUUCGGUAUGUAAAGCUCUAUCAGCAGGGAAGAAAUAGCGACCUUUGGGUCGCCAGACGGUACCUGUUUAAGAAGCGCCGGCUAACUACGUGCCAACAGCCGCGGUAAUACGUAGGGGGCAAGCGUUAUCCGGAUUUACUGGGGGUAAAGGGAGCGUAGACGGCAGCGCAAGACUGAGGUGAAAUGCCGGGGCUUAACCCCGGAACUGCUUUGGAAACUGUGCGGCUAGAGUGCAGGAGAGGUAAGCGGAAUUCGUGGUGUAGCGGUGAAAUGCGUAGAUAUUAGGAGGAACACCGGUGGCGAAGGCGGCUUACUGGACUGUAACUGACGUUGAGGCUCGAAAGCGUGGGGAGCGAACAGGAUUAGAUACCCUAGUAGUC
rnacentral:rRNA from 1 species